GGCGCCGACGUCCGCCAAUGGGCGCGGCCGGGCAAAAAGAGAAACAGUGCGGGCCCGCAGGCCGCAGGAUUCGAAUCGAACGUCCGCACCGGAGCCGGGUGCUGGCCGAGCAGCGCGGGCCAAUCAGCGGCGGCGGCUCGCGGCCCCCGAACGUUGGGACACCCGACCCCGCCCCGCACUGUUGUUUGUGGUGUCCGCCGGCGCGCGAGCCGGACCACAACACUCGCCCGACGGGCGGCGGGCGGGCGGCGGGGCGGACGAGGGUCCGGGGGCCGCGGGCGGCGGCGAUCACGACCGAAGGCAGCCGGCCUCCCGCGGCCGCCGAGGCCGAGAGUGCCGCCGGCCGAGCCAUGUCGGUGAACAUGGAUAGCUGCGCACCAGGUCAUGAUCAACCAGUUCGUGCUGGCCGCGGCUGCGCGGCCGACCAGGCGAAGACUGCUGCAGGCGGCCCACUGGCAGUUUCGAGACCGCCCUGAGCACGUUUUUCCAAGAAACCAACAUUCCCAACAGCCACCACCACCACCAGAUGAUGUGCACCCCCAGCAACACACCUGCCACGCCGCCCAACUUCCCUGACGCGCUGGCCAUGUUCUCCAAGCUUCGCACCUCCGAGGGUCUGCAGAACAGCAACAGCCCCAUGACUGCCGUGGCCUGCUCCCCGCCUGCAAACUUCAGCCCUUUCUGGGCCUCGUCCCCACCUAGCCACCAGGCUGCCUGGAUCCCGCCCUCCUCCCCGACGGCCCACAGCUUCCACCACCUCCACCACCCACAGCCCACGUGGCCCCCGGGAGCACAGCAGGGGGGCACCCAGCAGAAAGCCGUGGCUGCGAUGGAUGGCCAGAGAUGAGACUGGAUGCCGCCGGGCGCUGGGCUGGAGCUGGGGGGCGGUCCAGGGUCGUGGGGGACACAGGAGGGCCAGGGCAGGGGGGAGCUGGGGUGGGCAGGGGUUUCCUGAAGUUCGCACUGGAAGAUUUAUAAAAGAGUUUUUGUGGGUGGGGGGACAGUAAACUUCCUGAGCCACUUGGGUCCUUCAGGAGUUUCUCUUCAGGCAAGUUUUUCUUUUUAAUAUAUAACUAUAAUAUAUAAAAAUAUAUAAAAUUAACUAAUGUACGUGAGAAUGGGCUGGCUGACC
rnacentral:lncRNA from 1 species